GGACCCGCACAAGUAGUGGAGCAUGUGGUUUAAUUCGAAGAUACGCGCAGAACCUUACCAACACUUGACAUGUUCGUCGCGACUUUAAGAGAUUAAAGUUUUCGGUUCGGCCGGACGAAACACAGGUGCUGCAUGGCUGUCGUCAGCUCGUGUCGUGAGAUGUUGGUUAAGUCCCGCAACGAGCGCAACCCUCACUUUUAGUUGCCAUCAUUUAGUUGGGCACUCUGAAAGAACUGCCAGUGAUAAGCUGGAGGAAGGUGGGGAUGACGUCAAGUCCUCAUGGCCCUUACGUGUUGGGCUACACACGUGCUACAAUGGUAGUGACAAUGGGUUAAUCCCAAAAAGCUAUC
rnacentral:rRNA from 1 species